rnacentral:rRNA from 1 species
UACGGGGGGUGCGAGCGUUGUCCGGUAUCACUGGGCGUAAAGGGCGCGUAGGUGGUUUGAUAAGGGUGUGGUGAAGGUCCGGGGCUCAACCCCGGAUCUGCCGUGCCGACUGUCAAACUCGAGGACUGUAGAGGCAGACGGAAUUCCGGGUGUAGCGGUGGAAUGCGUAGAGAUCCGGAGGAAGACCGGUGGCGAAGGCGGUCUGCUGGGCAGUUUCUGACACUGAGGCACGAAGGCCAGGGGAGCAAACGGG